ensembl:lncRNA
UUGGGAGCUUGGAGUCUUAGCCACUGGAGCACCAGCAAGUCCCCAGGGUUAUACCAUUUAAUCAAUCACGCUUAUGAAAUGAAACCUCCAUAAAGAUCGCUAAAUGAAGGAGUUCAGAGAGCUUCUGGGUUGGGGUACUGGGUGGAGUGGUGCACCAGGCGGGGGCAUAGAAGCUCCGCGUACCCCCUGCCCCUUAUACUUUGCCCUAUGCAUCUCUUCCAUUCACGUCUCCAGAGUUCUCUCCUUUAUGAGAAACCGCAAAAUAUAAGUAAAGAGCUUUCCUGAGUCCUGUGAGCCUUUCUAACAAAUGAUGGAACCUCAGUCAGGGGUCAAGGAUCCCCUUGUUUAUAGCCAGUCGGUCAGUAUUUUGGUGUCUGAAGCGGAGGCAGGCUUGCAGGACCAAGCCCUUAACCUGUGGGAUCUGAUGCUGACUCCGGGUAGACAGUGUCAGGGCUGAAUUGAAUUGGAGGCCACCCAGCUGGUAUUGGAGGACUGGAGAAGACAUCGCGCAUUUGGUGUCAGCAGUGUUGUGAGUACAAACUGCCCACUGACAAAUGGCAGGUGUCGGCAUUUUUACAGACGACAGACUCUUGGCAUGGCGGCUCUUCUUGGUGAAGCUGCAGCUCCGGGCUCGCCCCCCUCCCUCACUCUGCUCUGAUGCCAGUGGCGCAUUCUGCUCCCCUAGCUGUUCACAACACGCCAAGAGGCUGGGCUGCUUCUGCCCAUGUUGCAAGGAGGGCAGCUGAGGCCCAGAGAGAGCAAAUGGCUUGUGUGAGAUGGCCAGCCUCCCCGACGAGCCAGCCUUCCAGGCCUUGUGCCCUGAAGAGAAGAUGUCCCCAUGGGGUCCAGAAUGAGAAUAAAGUGUCAGACAAGCUGUGUGGGAAGCUGCACCCCCCAGUGUCUAAUCAGCCAAAACAGGGAGGCUUUUCUCUUCUUUUUUUUGGGGGGGUCAUGCCUCAAAGCUUGUGGGAUCCUAGUUCCCCAAUCAGGGAUCAAACCCAGGCCCUUAAUUCCCCAGGGAGUCUGUUUGGGUAGCUUUGAUCUCUGGACUUCCGGGUCCUCAAGAAGAGGGGAGGGGGUUUCUCAUGCCAUAUAUAUAUAUUUAUUUUAGUAUUUAUUUGACAGCAUGCAGGAUUUUAGUUGUGGCAUCUAGUUCCCUGACCAAGGAUCAAACCCAGCCCCCUGUACUGGAAACCUGGAGUCUUAGCCACUGGAUCACCAAGGAAGUCCCUCUCAUGCCAUCUUCUACUCCACUAUCUCCUCUUGUUUCCUUGACUGUUUUGGAGGAUUUUUUUCCCCCUGGUUUCAAAAGCAAUACACAGUUGCAUCAUGCAGGAUCAAGUUCCCUGACCAGGGAUCAAACCCGGGCCCCCUGUAUUGGGAGCAUGGAGUCCUAACUACUAGACCUCCGGAAUACACUUACUGGGGCUUCCCAGGUGGUGCUAGUGGCCGUGCAGUGACCAGCGCAGGAGUCAGCUGGUGAUGCAGGUCAUGCCGUGACAGGCUGGUGCCAGUGCGGAAGACGUGAGACUUGGGUUCAGUCCUUGAGUCAGGAAGAUCUCCUCCUGCAAGAGGGCACAGCAACCCACUCCAGUGUUCUUGCCUAGAGUAUCCCAUUGACAGAGGAGCCUGGCAGGCCACGGCCCAUGGGGUCACUAAGAGUGGGACACGACUGAAGAGACUUAGCACUCACGCAUGUACCCUUUUUCACCGGCUCUUACUCUAUUUAUAAAGUUGUGCAAACAUCACCACUAUCUAAUUCUGGGAUAUUUUCAACACCCUAAAGCGAAACCCUGUACCCACAGUAGUCAUUUUCCAUUUUCCUACCCUAUAGAUAUUAAAAGUGCCAGGGACUUCCCUGCUGGUCCAGUGGUUAACAUUGCAUCCUUCCAAUGCGGGGGGUAUGGGUUUGAUCCCUGGUCAGGGAACUAAGAUCCCACCUCGUGGUGUGGCUAAAAAUAAAUAAAUAAAAGUGCCAGAUCUUUGCCUUGUUGUUUUUUAACUCAGCAAAAUACUUAGCACUGGGACAGGCUCAUAAUGUGCACUUAAU